rnacentral:rRNA from 1 species
GAUGAACGCUGGCGGCGUGCCUAAUACAUGCAAGUCGAGCGAACAGACGAGGAGCUUGCUCCUCUGACGUUAGCGGCGGACGGGUGAGUAACACGUGGAUAACCUACCUAUAAGACUGGGAUAACUUCGGGAAACCGGCGCUAAUACCGGAUAAUAUAUUGAACCGCAUGGUUCAAUAGUGAAAGACGGUUUUGCUGUCACUUAUAGAUGGAUCCGCGCCGCAUUAGCUAGUUGGUAAGGUAACGGCUUACCAAGGCAACGAUGCGUAGCCGACCUGAGAGGGGGAUCGGCCACACGGGAACUGAGACACGGUCCAGACUCCUACGGGAGGCAGCAGUAGGGAAUCUUCCGCAAAGGGCGAAAGCCUGACGGAGCAACGCCGCGUGAGUGAUGAAGGUCUUCGGAUCGUAAAACUCUGUUAUUAGGGAAGAACAAAUGUGUAAGUAACUAUGCACGUCUUGACGGUACCUAAUCAGAAAGCCACGGCUAACUACGUG